UCCAGGAAUAAGGUACACAGGAAGGAAAUCAUGGUGAUGUUACUCACAAUGAAGUAGCCCAGGGAAUAGCUUGUUCAAUUUAGAAAGUGGCUUAAUUUGCUACUAUUGCUAUGAUAAAACACUGAUGAAAAGCAACUUAUGGAGGACAGGUUACACUUCAUGAUUUACUUCUAGUUAUCAGUUAAUUACUGAGAAAUGUCAGGGCCCAAACUGAAGCAGGGUAGGAACCUGGAGGCAAGAAAUGAAGCAGAAACUGUGUAAGAGCUGUGCUUCCUGUCCUGCACCUCAUAUCUUUCUUUGUGUGAUUAAUAGCUCAAGGGUGGCACCAUCCUGGAGAUCUGGGCCCUACAAUUUCCACUGUUAAUCAAGACAACAUCCCAUAGACUUCCCUACACACUAGGACAAUCUGAUGUAGGCAUUUCCUCAACUAAGAUCCCUCUUCUCACCAACUUCUUCUCUUAGACAUUUUUCUAUUUCUUUAAUAAAACACCAGGAGUAAGGCAACUUAUAGAAGUAGAUAUUUAUUUGGGAUUAGAGCGGUAGAGAGAUUACAUUCCUUCAAAGUCAUGAGAGAGAAGCAUGGCUGCAGGAAGGAAGGACAACCAAACAGGAAUCAGAGACCUGGGGGCUCUUAUCUUAGGCAGCAAACACGAAGCACAGAGAGUACACAGCAAAUGGCACCUAGCUUCUGUAAUGUUAACUCUAACCGAUGACAUACUUCCUCCAGGAAAGCCAAGCCACUUAAACCACCCAAAAGGUCUUACAAAGAUGGUAUCAUAUAUUGUGGUGCCUGAGAUUAGACAGGCAUCCCAUUCAAACCAUCACAAUAAAACUCCACCUCUUCCCCAUACUCUGCAAAAAAAUCACCAAUUUGAGAAACCUUUGAACUCAUUAAUUUGAUUCACUCACAGGAAUUCUGGCAGCAAAUCAGUUCUGAAAUGUUGCUUUGCUUUACUAGGUCCUCCAUUCUUUGCAAGAUGUAUGAAAUUUUAACUAUGUUAUGUAUGUUGCAAAAGAGUCUCCAUUUUAGACAGAGACUUCAUUUCACAGGUUGAUAUCGGCUUGUAGUAACUGCUAUUUUCUUCAUCAUUUUAGAUUUCCAUUUUUUAUUGAUUUCAAUUUUAAAGUACUUGAAAUUACAAAGGAUCUUGUUUUUGCCUUGUGGUGUUACAGAUGUCUUUUAUACAAAUCAUGAUUGACAAGAAUGUAGAUGUUUUGGGAGACGAUGACAGUACAAUUUGUAAGGAUAUUCAAAAGAGAUCUGAUGAACUUAAGAUGUCACUAAAUACUGCUGGAUGUGACAAUGGAAAAACUUCAACAUAUAAUGUUCCACAGAGGAACUAUUUGUUACAAAUAGUUUCACUCAUUAUACUUACUUUUAUGUUGUGUAUCAUAUAUAUUUAUCUAUUAUAAUAAAUUUUAAUAAAGUGUAUUAUUGCUUUGACUCCAA